GCUCUGCGCCAGUGCAUCCUUCUCCAAGAGUGCGCUGCCUGGGCCCGCUUGCCCUGGAGUGUAAGUGCUGGUAACUUCAGCAGUCAACGGAGAGAAGAGUGGAAACCUUACUGGAUGCGGACAGGAGAGCCAGUUACUGAAAGCAGAUAUAACGCGGAUCCUGUAAAGAGUGCUUUAGAUGCUAACAUUGAAGAUGCACAACCAUGAGGAUGUAGGAGACUGGAUCCCUGAAUCACUGCUUGGAUGAUAGCAGCAAGCUUCUUUGGCGUUAAACAACUUAGAUAUUCUGAUAAAGCAUCUACUGUUGCCUUAAUUAAGGAGAGAUGGAUAAUAUUUUCUUGGAUGAAAGUGAUAGAGGUGAGGAUGAAGAGAAGUGGUCAGAUUCUACAUACAAUUAUCAGAGAAACAGGAGUUCCUGAGAAUAUGGAUAUGAUGAGAAGUGACUCAGGGGAAGGAUGAUGUCAAGCUGUUGUCAAGCCAAUUGCAUGGAAAGAGAAGAAUUAACGUGUUCUCCCUUCAAAAUGAUGGAUUCCAUGGCUCCACAUUCAUCAUCUGGCUCAUGAUUACCAACUCUUUGCAGUCCAUUGCAGGGUGACCUCGUUAGCACUAUCUGUGCACUUUCUGUGAUAGCGGGCUGCCUGGAGGCCCUGCAUGUGUGGUUCGGGUUAAUGAGGGUCUGAGUCAUCAAGUUAGAAACUCACCUUUCCAGCCAUCAGAUCCAGAAAUGCUAGAAAAAGGCACAGGGCUCAUAAUCAGACAUGCCAUGUUGACGAAAGAGUAAUGUCUCAUCCUGGUGAGAUCGUCCACAGGACCUGUGCUGAAUAAUUGUCAGGCAGCCAUGAGACCACAGUAAGCUCCCAUACUAUCUAGAGGUCAAUUUAUCAUCCAAGAUGGCCUGCUUUGCAGAUUGCUGCAUGCAUACCCUCUGCAGCACCAGGUAGCAGGCAGCAGGAGAGGUAGCCCCACAAUAACACAGCAUGUGUCCCUAGAGCAUCUUCUUAUUGAAAUGGGAGAUUUAAAACCUUUUAAAGAAAACUAAUGGUCCUGUUUGCUGUCUAAGGAUAAAGACGAGUACAUUUUAAUGGUG
ensembl:lncRNA BTG1-DT BTG1 divergent transcript